rnacentral:rRNA from 1 species
UAGGGAAUCUUCCACAAUGGACGCAAGUCUGAUGGAGCAACGCCGCGUGAGUGAAGAAGGUUUUCGGACCGUAAAGCUCUGUUGUUGGUGAAGAAGGAUAGAGGUAGUAACUGGCCUUUAUUUGACGGUAAUCAACCAGAAAGUCACGGCUAACUACGUGCCAGCAGCCGCGGUAAUACGUAGGUGGCAAGCGUUGUCCGGAUUUAUUGGGCGUAAAGCGAGCGCAGGCGGAAGAAUAAGUCUGAUGUGAAAGCCCUCGGCUUAACCGAGGAAUUGCAUCGGAAACUGUUUUUCUUGAGUGCAGAAGAGGAGAGUAGAACUCCAUGUGUAGCGGUGGAAUGCGUAGAUAUAUGGAAGAAUACCAGUGGCGAAGGCGGCUCUCUGGUCUGCAACUGACGCUGAGGCUCGAAAGCAUGGGUAGCGAACAGGAUUAGAUACCCUGGUAGUCCAUGCCGU